ACAGAUUUUACCUCAGUAGUACAGUACAGUACAGUACAGUAGCUUCUUAGUAUGCAAGUACAGUUACAGUGUUUCUUUGAUAUCAUUGUCAAAUAACAUGCUGUUCACAAAUAUGUAAAAACG